GAUGUAGAACCCCAUAUCAGUUUGACCUGGCUACACCAGCGAUAACACUGUGAGGGAGCUUUCUGCUGGAGAUUCUGUACUUAUUCAUCAUCUGUUUUCAUAAUUGCUUGAUGUUGUUAAUCCAGUGUUUCCUUCGUCUAUUACUACAAAAGGACUAAAGAGAAGUCUAUUUCAAACAUCUAUAGACCAAAUAGAAGCCUAUUUGAAGAUGGAGGUGAGAGGAGAGGUGAGAGGAGAACGUGGCUGCUUCAUGAAAGCAACGAGAGCCAUCUUCAACACCAUCAGAAACCGGCUCACACCAAGGAGAGCACGACAGAGGACGACAGAGGACCGCAGAAACCUGAAGAAACAGUCAUUUGGGCUGAACACCAGGUUGACCAAGAGAAAACACUCAGCUAACGUUAGAACUGCUAACAUGGACACUGCUGAGAGAAGGGUGCAGGAAGAUGAACUCAAAGAAAGACUAAAAUCUUCUCUACAGACUUUUCGAGUGAGGCGCAAGCCACACUGGGUGCUCCAGAGAGGCUGGGGACAAAACAACAUGGAUGACCUAAACAUGGAUGACACUCAGGCCGGAGAGGAUCUUCAGCCUGCUGAACCAGCCAAUGAGAAUGCAAAUAACAUAGACCUCAAACUAUACUGGGCAUAACAUUGACCAUAAAUUGCUUAUUCAUGCCCACAGUUAACACCGACAUUGAUAUUGAGAAAGAUUAAUACAUUUCAAAUGUUGCUGCCUGUUUGACUCGAAUGUUGUUAUUGUUGUUGUCACAGCAAGUUCUGGCUCCAGCUACCAUGUCCCAGCUGAAUGGACUCUUGACCACCUGAUGCUGGAGCAGAGUUCAUCUGCAAACAAGGAGGGACCAGUCAGUGAGAGGGCAAACAUGGAGGAGACUGAGGCCGGAGAGGAUGUGCAGCCUGGUGAACCAGCAAGCAAGAAUACAAAUAGCACAGACCUCACACUGCUAACUUAUACUCACAGUUUACCUUUUAUGAGAAUAGCAUAGACAGACCAUAAACUGCUUAGUCAUAGCCACAGUUAACUUGUUUAUUUUUUUUUCUAACAGGCUGGGUUGUGGCCUAUGGCCAGAUGUGGCGGGAAAUGAUAGAGCAGCAUGGUCCUGUACUUUGCAGCAACAUGCCCUUAAUACUCUGGCUCUGGCUCCAGUUACCGUCCCAGCUGAAUGGGGCCUUGACCACCUAAUUGCUUAACCUAGCAAAUGAUCAUGGGAACACCUCUAAUUAUAGGUGGCUGGGAUUUGUGAACAUUGUUAGGUAGAGCAUGGGGAGCAGGACAGGCCUUAUCAUUGUGGACAGCCAAGAAACAUCUACUGUCAAGCAACAUCUACAGCCCCUCAACUGACCUACAUUAUUACAUUAUUUUCAUUACUACUGUAUUACAUUGAUAUCUCAUUAAGACUCAACAUCAAAUAAAUACGUUUACAUACAGAUUAAA